UACGUAGGUGGCAAGCGUUGUCCGGAAUUAUUGGGCGUAAAGCGCGCGCAGGCGGUCUUUUAAGUCUGAUGUGAAAGCCCACGGCUCAACCGUGGAGGGUCAUUGGAAACUGGGGGACUUGAGUGCAGAAGAGGAAAGUGGAAUUCCAAGUGUAGCGGUGAAAUGCGUAGAGAUUUGGAGGAACACCAGUGGCGAAGGCGACUUUCUGGUCUGUAACUGACGCUGAGGCGCGAAAGCGUGGGGAGCCAAACAGG
rnacentral:rRNA from 1 species